rnacentral:rRNA from 1 species
GUUAUCAAGCAACGAAGGGCAACAGGAGGAUGCCUUGGCGACACAUGGCGAUGAAGGACGUGGCAAGCUGCGAAAAGCUUCGGUAAGCCGCAAGCAGGCUUUAACCCGGAGAUAUCCGAAUGGGGAAACCCACCGGCGGCAAAGCGCCGGUACUGCGACAUGAAUAAAUAGUGUUGCGAGAGCGAUACCCGCUGAAGUGAAACAUCUCAGUAAGCGGAGGAAAAGAAAGCGAAGCGAUUCCCUCAGUAGUGGCGAGCGAAAGGGGAACAGCCCAAACCAUGGGGAUUUAUCCCUGCGGGGUUCGGACUCAGAUGUGGACUUUUAUCAGAUAGGCGAACGGCAUGGAAAAGCCGGCCAUAGAGGGUGAGAGGCCCGUAGUCGAAAUCUGGUGAAUACCUAUGAGUAUCCAGAGUAGCACCGGACACGUGAAACCCGGUGUGAAUAUGUGCAGACCACUGCAUAAGGCUAAAUACAAGGUGUCGACCGAUAGUGAACAAGUACCGUGAGGGAAAGGUGAAAAGGACCCCUGUUAGGGGAGUUAAAAGUACCUGAAACCUGUUGCCUACAAGCGGUCAGAGCCCCCAUGUGGGGUGAUGGCGUACCUUUUGCAUAAUGGGCCUAGGAGUCUAUAUCAGUUGCAAGCUUAAGCGUUUACGACGCGGAGGCGAAGCGAAAGCGAGUCUGAACAGGGCGGGAGUAACUGGUAUAGCACCCGAAGCGGAGGCGAUCUAGCCAUGGCCAGGCUGAAGCAUCGGUAACGCGAUGUGGAGGGCCGAACCCAUUAACCUUGAGAAGUUAAGGGAUGAGCUGUGGUUAGGAGUGAAAGGCUAAUCAAGCCCCGUAAUAGCUGGUUCUCUCCGAAAUAUAUUUAGGUAUAGCGUCAAAUGCUGAUCGCCGGGGGUAAAGCACUGAAAAGGCUAGGGUUCACACCAGAAUACCGAACCUUAUCAAACUCUGAAUACCGGCGAGGGAAAUUUGGCAGUCAGUCAGUGGGGGAUAAGCUUCAUUGGCGAGAGGGAAACACCCCAGACCAUCGGAUAAGGUCCCUAAGGUAGUGCUAAGUGGCAAGAAGGAGGUAAGUUUUCAUAGACAAUGGGGAUGUUGGCUUAGAGGCAGCCAUCAUUUAAAAAGUGCGUAAUAGCUUACCCAUCGAGAGAAUUUGCGCCGAAAAUGAUCGGGACUCAAGCACUAUACCGAAUCCGUGGAAUUAGCAAUAAUUGGUAGGAGAGCGUUCCAACGGCGUCGAAGGUCGAGCGGCGAGCGAGGCUGGAGCUUUUGGAAGUGAGAAUCUAGGCAUGAGUAACGAAAAGCAUGGUUAAAAUCCAUGCCGCCGUAAGGAUAAGGUUUCCUGGGGAAGGUUCGUCCGCCCAGGGUUAGUCGGGAGCUAAGGCGAGGCCGUAAGGAGUAGUCGAUGCACAACGGGUUAAUAAUCCCGUACCGGCUUGUCGAUGUUUGAGCUUUAUAUUGACGGAUGAGUGAAUGCUGGCGAGGUGAUGAACGUCCUCGUCCAAGGCGCUGAAAGGCGUCGACGGGACUCUGAGGCUACGGCCGAGGGGGAUCAGCAAUGGCUAGUCCCGGGAAAAUUUAUAAAGUUAGUCGGCAGGCUGCCCGUACCGCAAACCGACACAGGUAUCCGGGAUGAGUAUUCUAAGGCGCGUGAGUUAAAUCUCUCCAAGGAACUCGGCAAAAUGGCCCCGUAUCUUCGGUAGAAGGGGUGCCAACGCGAGUUGGUCUCAGUAAAGAGGCCCAACCGACUGUUUAUCAAAAACACAGCUCUCUGCCAAGUCGCAAGACAACGUAUAGGGAGUGACAUGUGACCAAUGCGGAAAGGUGAAAACUGCUUGUGAAAGCUUGUGGUCUAAGCCCCCGUGAAUGUCGGCCGUAACUAUAACGGUCCUAAGGUAGCGAAAUUCCUUGUCGGGUAAGUUCCGACCUGCACGAAUCAUGUAACGAGUUGGGUGCUGUCUCAGGGAGAUGCUCAGUGAAAUUGUAGUCGCGGUCAAGAUGCCGCGUACCCGCAGAAGGACGGAAAGACCCUAUGAACCUUUACUGUAAACUGAUAUUGUCGUUUGAUUUUUAAUACGUAGAAUAGCCGGGAGGCUUUGAUUCGGCACUCCAGGGUGCCGAUGAGCCGCAAUGUGAAAUACCGGUUUUUAACUAUUAGGCGUCUAACCGCAAACCGUAAGCCGGUUGCGGGACAGUGUUAGUGGGUCAGUUUGACUGGGGCGGUCUCCUCCUAAAAAGUAACGGAGGACUGCGAAGGUUCCCUCAGACCGGAUGGUAAUCGGUCGUCGAGGAUAUGGCUAAAAGGGAGCUUAACUGUGAGACCUACAAGUCGAGCAGAUGGGAAACCAGGCCCAAGUGAUCCGGCGAUAGCUCGUGGGAGCGUCGUCGCUUAUGGGACAAAAGGUACUCUAGGGAUAACAGGCUGAUUUCGCCCAAGCGUUCAUAGCGACGGCGAAGUUUGGCACCUCGAUGUCGGCUCAUCACAUCCUGGGGCUGUAGAAGGUCCCAAGGGUUUGGCUGUUCGCCAAUUAAAGUGGUACGCGAGCUGGGUUCAGAACGUCGUGAGACAGUUCGGUCCUCUAUCCUCUGUGGGCGUUGGAAAUUUGAGGGGUUCAUUCCUUAGUACGAGAGGACCGGGAAUGACGUAUCCCUGGUGUUCCGGUUGUCGCGUCAGCGGCAGCGCCGGGUAGCUAAAUACGGAAAGGAUAAGCGCUGAAAGCAUCUAAGCGCCAAGCCUGUCCCAAGAUUAGAUUUCCAUGAGGGACCGGGAAGACCACCCGGUUGAUAGGACGGAAGUGUAAGCGCAGCAAUGCGUUGAGCUAACCGUUACUAAUUACCCGAAAGCUUGAAAACA